rnacentral:lncRNA from 1 species
UUUUCCUUCCCUUCUUUAUUUGUGUAAUUGUAAUGACCAUUUAGUGUACAAUUGGUGAAAUCGAACAUUAAUCUUAUUUAUACCAAAUAAUAGUGAUUUCAUCCAUGGGGCAGAAUGUGGAUUCACUGUUUUCUUACUUUUUAAAUCCACUAUUACCGGAUAAUGGGAGUAUGAAAAGUUGGAAAAGAAACUGAAAAACAGUUGUUAGACUGAGAAUAUUCUUAUGUCCCAACUUCUUUAAAGAGGAUAAGAUACUCUGUUAUCACAGAGUUAUUUAUGAACUUGAAUUUUAGAACAAAUGGUUCGAGACUCUUAUUUUGAUUUCUUGAGCUGGGAGAACUAUGAAUUGGGUUCUGAUCAGUGGUGGAUCCAGGAUUUAGAUUCCGUGGGUGCCAAAUAGACUUAUCGAUUAAACUAAUUUUAUAUUUGAUUAAAUUAUUCGUCUUUUCGAUUUAAAUUAAUUUUAGUUCUCUAAUUUUUCUUAAAAGAACGUGUGCAACAAUUUCCUUUUUCUUAAAACAAUGUCUUUCUCAAAAAAAUAGGUACAAAUGGGAUUCGAACCCGCAACAUCAGCCUUCUAAAGUUGCCCUCCUACCGUGGCACCACAAGCCAAUUUUGUUCUGUGGGUGGCACGCUUUAUAUAAAUAUAAAUAUUAUAUAUAUAUACCUAUGUAUAUAUAGAGUUUCCGUCGAAGUUCGGGGGUGGCGUGGCACCCCCACAUGCCUUAAUAGAUCCGCCUCUGGUUCUGAUACAAGGCAGCCCGGUGUAUGAAGCAUACCACAUUUUCCUUAGUGUUAGGUAGUGGCGGAGUAGAAAUUUGUACAAUUCCGAGGUCCUUUUUGUCUCUGUUCUCCACCAACUUUAUAGGUCCGAUCAUCUAAAAAGACUAGC